rnacentral:lncRNA from 1 species
UGGCCAAGAAAUUAUUGUUUCAAUCAACAUCACCAUAGAUACCAUAUAUAAUUAUAUGCCUUAUUAUUCCAAUAGUUAGAAAUCAGGAUAAAUAAAAACAUAGUAUUCUCAAAGAUUUACACCUAUGUAUCUACAACCACAAAAAUGAAUGCCAGGCAUUGAAAAUUUGAAGAACAUUUGCCUAGUUUCAGUGGGCUGACUCAGAAAAGGGCAAGAAAAUUGAUGGUUGGGGGGAUAGCAGGUGUUAGAGAAAUGAGAUCUGAGCACUGAUAGUCCUGUGUUCACACUGCAGAAGUCCAGGGAGGACAGGGAACUGAGGGCUGGCUGGAGAAACUCCUGUGGGAAAGAGGCUGAGGAAGAGGCAGGGAGGGUAAUCCACAGCGGGCUCUUUUUGAGUUUAGGGAGAUGAAGUUAGGACAAGAAAGGCAAAAUGGAGAUAAAUUUUUGCCAUUGACUAAAUGCUGCCCCAGUGGGACCAUGCUUUAGAAGUACCUGUGGAGUCAUCGCAUGAUAAAAUUCUUUUGCUAUGGAAUAAGCAGAGUUAAUAAGACAAACCUCAUCUAAUUCCUUCAUGAAUAAAACAAGGAGGUGGAUUAGAUGGCCUCUAGGCAGCUUUCAUCAAGAAAAUCUGCCUUUUAAAAAACCUGGUUUAUGGCAAAUAAUAUUAAAAGAAAGUUUCCAUGUCAUUCUGUCCAGGACACACUCCCAGCGCCACUUGGCCAGGCUGGAAUUUUCAGCUUACAGUCUGUCCUUAGGAUGAGAAGGACCUAUGGUCUUAGGGGCCCUGACAAAGGACAGCCUGACUCCUGGCAUGUGUCCAUCAAGGGGCAUAGGGAGAGGGGUCACAGGCCCUGGAUAAGCUGACUGUCUCUCCAACCACCCCCACAUAGCAGAGGCCCUGCCAUUUGGGCCUGGAGGUGUUUAGCCCCUUUCUGUGCCCCAUAUCUCUUGUGGGAUGAUUUUCUCUUCCUGAGGAGCUUGUGUGCUGGUGUCAGCAUCCUUGUGUGCUAUCAAUCAUCAAAGAAAAAAAAGAAAAUUAAGCACAUAAGGGGCAGAGAAGGGAGCCUUUGAUAGGAUGUCCUGAUUGCCUCUUGCCCCCAGUCAAUGUGGAAGAGAACCUGCCCUGGGCAUGCCUGGGUGUUCAGUCAUGGUCAUGGUGAGCCAAGCUCUCAAUGUCUUGCCAGAGACAGCUUCCCCCAUCUGCUUCUAUCAUGGUUUGAAGUUAACAUUCCAUCUAACUCCUCCCAAAAAGUAGAAAUUGAAUCUUUCUUGGGGGAUGACUGGUCCCAGUAACUGACUCUGUGCUUGCCCAACCCUCUGCCUCAUGACACAGAAAGGCUAGCCCAGGGCAGGGAGUGAGAUGGUGACAGGUCAGGCCAGGUGGCCCUGAGGAACCUCUUGUGAGCUUUUUGAGCCUCAGUGCAUUCUUGAAGGACCUUCCUGUGGGCCAUGACAACACUUGCCUCCUUGACGCUCAAAGCCAGUUCCCUGCAACUGAGUGCCCUGGGAGGACCUCAUCAUACACUUUCCAAUUUAACAUGUGAUUCCCAGUAUGGUUUCUUAUUGCUGUCCUUCUUGCUCUCUUGUCCAUAUUCACCCACUGAUGUGGCACAGGAGGAGGGAGAAAGUGAGUAGAUGUUCAGCUAUUGUGACCAUCACCACCAACACCCUUCUCAGUCCAGCAGCCCACUCAGGAGAGCACCACACUGCACAAGGAUGCCGUAGACAGAAUUAUCCACAUUGGGAGGAGUCCAGGGUCCUGAGAUGUAAUAGAGCCUUGUCCUCAGACCAGCAGCAUCAGUAUGUCUGGAGUAUGCGUUAGAAGGGCAGAAUCUCAAACUGCACCCCAGAUCCACUAAAUCAGAAUCCACACUUUAACAAGAUCUCCGGGUUCCCCAAGAUCCUCAUUUUGAUGAGCAUCAGAGGCCUAUACAGGUUUGAGAAGCGUUGCUCUGUAACAGCGGUUCCGGAUCCCGAUUGCAAGUUAAAAUAACUGGGAAGCUUUAAAAAAUACCCAUGUCGAGUCACCAUCUCUAGAGAUAUGGAUCUAAUUGGUCUAAGGCAGGCCUGGGAAUUAUUAUUUUUUAAACUUCCCUAGUGUUUCUGUGAUGUAAAAAGCCAAGGUGGAGAACUACUGCUAGAGAGCUACUGUCACAUUGAAUGGGUCUUGACUGAUACUUCGCCUGAUGUUCUUGACCGCUUGGUGCUUGGCUGGUGACUUCAAAUUGGGCCACUGGAAGCAGAGAUUCCAGUUGUGUCUCAGGAUUUCAGAAGCAGAGAUUCCAACAGAUUCUAGCCUCCAAUAGCCUGACCUCCUAUUUGCUGAAAAAAGGCCCUUGGAUAUUCUAUUGUCUGCACUGAUUGAGGCAACGAGAAAGCUAAUGGAAAUAGUGGAUCUUGAGAUGAACAAGACAUACCCCUAAUUCGUAAGACACCCGAGGUCUAGUGGAAAAACAAAUCCCUAAAGCAGUAGUAAAACCGCAGUCAUGAUAAAAUGGUAAGUCUGGUGACUGGGAGGUAAAGGGGGAAGCACUGGGAAGGGCAUGAAGUCCAACCUGGGCUGACCAGGGAAGGCUUCCUGGAAGAGGCGAGUGUUGAAAUGCAUGAGUAUGAACCAGGCAAAGACUGGAGGAGACACAGAAUCCCGUGGACGUAAGAAACAACAUCAACGUGGAGGGAAAACCAGCAGUUUGGUGCCACUGGGGCACACAUAUAGAAGAGCAAAAGCCAAAGCAGGGACUGGGUCACAGAGGCCCUUGUGUGUCAUUCCAAGGGUGUGGACUUUCUUCAGUCAAUUGGGGGAAGCCUUAGAAAGUGUUUUCAGUAGAAUAGGACAUGGGGAAAUGUGUUCACAUAGGUUAUUUAGCUUUCAGCAAUGUAAAAGUGUUCACUGCAUUGCAACUUUAACAAAUCUAAUUUUUCUUUAAUUCGUAUUAAAUUAUUUAUAAUUAAUAAAGAUCUGUUCAAGAUUUAAUACAUUUCUGAUCUUAUUCUGAUGUUAAAUAGGACCUUUUACCCUUUCUCUUCUUUAAAAAGUUAAAAAUCUAGAAAGACCUCGAGAGGUAAGUACAGUCAUUUACAAUCGUCUCUUUCUACUUGAAAACUUGCAUGUACAUGAGGUAGUUGAGGGUCCAUAUGAUGCCAGCUUAUCUGUUUAUUGAGACCUAAUUAUAGUUAAAAAUUGGAUGCAGUACUUAAACAAUGAGGCUUGUUAAGAACGUUGUAUUGAGAAUAGUAAUUUCAAUAAUAAUAAAUAUGAUGAUAAUUUUGUUUUUUAAUUCAAUGGAUGUUUAAAAUUCACCAUAGAGUAACAAUUUAAAAAUUAACUCAAUACAUUAUUGAACUCAAUACAAUUGAUUUUAAAAGUUAUUGUUCUCUAAGCUCUAAGUAAUCAAGUUUUUCUCUGUACUUCCUAUAUCUUAAAGCUUCUUUAAAUAUAUAUAGAGAGAGAGAGAUUUGGGGAGGCAUCAGAAAUCUUUACCCAGAACUUCAAGGAGCCAAAACUAGUUAGAAUUAUAUGUCAACACAUCUGAAAUGUCAACACAUUUUUUUUUUUGCGAUAAUUUUCUGUGAUUUGGAAUCCUGAUUGGGAAGUAAUUUUUAGUAUUCCAUUUUUUUAAGUGUUUGCUUUCAAAGAGAAUUUUGCCCUUGAGAGUUUCUUAAACCAGUCAAAUUCUCCAAGAGUAGAAAACAUGUGAUACAUCCAAGUUGCGUGCUUAUUUCUCCAGGGUCUCAGCUUCCUCUCAGAAACGCACACUCUGGUACUGAACCUUCUGAAACUGUCAGGUUUUUUUUGCAUACACGGGCUUAUGUUUUCACACCAGUUCAUAGAUUGGGCGGAAGAUGGCACUUCUGCCAUCUCUAUUUUGAUAGAACAGAAUGGCAUGUGGGCGAGUGAUGUGGGGGACUGGGUGUGACUCUUUGCCAUCCUUAUAUACAGAAUCAGGGUAGAGUUCCUGCGCUUCUCCUGGGGUAGGGAAGCAAGUCAUGGGUGUUUUACAGCCUGACUUUCUGGUAGUUACUUUUCCAACAAUAAAAAAAUAUUCUGGGGUGGGGUGGGGAGAGAGGAAGCAGGAAGGAGAAUGAAAUCUUCCAUUUUAAAAUUAACUAAGUUAAGAUGAUUUUUUUUUCUUAGGAAGAAGCAACAGGAUUGUACCCACCUAUAACGAGAAAGCUUAACUUACUGACAUAUUCUCAUUGCUGAAGACUCUGUCUGAAUGAGGAUUUCAAUCUCAAGUCUAGGAUGUGAUUUCAUCUGGUAAAUGUCUUAUGGAAGGCUGAGGAGCAGCCUAAUGAGGUACUGCUGAGUUGGGAGGAGGUGGGAGGAGCUGAGAGGGCUAUCUGGACUCACUUCCCUCAAAAUGAAACCUUGAUAUUUUCAAAGCUUGUGUCCCUGGAGCCCUCACUUGGGUUAGGGGGAGACCCCUGAUUUUAUUUAUUCAUGCUAGGGAUGGUAAUACCUUGUUCUCUAGGUCCUGGGCUUUCUAAAGAAGAUUAUUUUUAGCUCUAAAGUUAAAUGACACAUUGUUUGGGGGAGGAGGGGAGAUCCUUUGAUGGGGUCCUUUAAAAGAGUGCCCCACCCCCAACGCUGUCCUCUUGCCUUGGCAGGACCUCUUGGCAGGACCUGUCUGAGUACUUUGGACAAAGACAGUAAGCAUCAUUGCUUCUGUUUGCGGCUAGUUUUUCUUUCUGUUUCCAGGUGAAGGGGAGAGGCAGACACGGAAGAAGCGCAUCUGUAGCUAAGAAAGAAAUACACUGACCCCAUUUCCAGUGGUUGAGCUUCUCUCCAAGUAGGUAGAUGCUGGCGAUGAAGACGUAGCUGAGAGAGAAGAAAGCUGCUAGACCCAAGAGGCUGAGUUUGGCAAACACAGGAUACACCCAGGUACCCGUCUCAAAGUAGAGCCAUAGGAUGCUGCAGGAAAUAAGAAGUCGUGGUGGUUAUAGCAGGAGGAGAAAAACAAGCCAUUUUCUCAUCAGGAUUAAUGAGGUACUGGUACCCAGGCAGGGGAAGAGAACCCAUCAGGGACGUUUGUCAACAGCUGUAGUAUUCCCACAAACCUAAAGAAGUGAGGCUUUUCUGGGUAAAUCAACUUGAUUCAAUAAGACAUGCUGUUUGAUGGGCUGGGCUGGGCUGUUUUACCUAAUCCACUUAAAUUCAACAUUGGUGAAAAAAUAUAAGAGAACAUAGGGCCAGGCACUGUGGCUCAUGCCUGUAAUCCCAGCACUUUGGGAGGCUGAGGGGGGUGGAUCACCUGAGGUCAGGAGUUCGAGAGCAGCCUGGCCAACAUGAUGAAACCCCAUCUCCACUAAAAAUACAAAAAAUUAACUGGGCAUGGUGGCUCAGGCCUGUAAUCCCAGCUACUAGGGAGGCGGAGGAAGAAGAAUCGCUUGAACCUGGGAGGCAGAGGUUGCAGUGAUCCAAGAUCACGCCACUGCACUCUAGCCUGGGCAACAAGAGUGAAACUUUGUCUCAAAAACAAACAAACAAACAAACAAACAAACAUAGAACCAUCGUUAGCUAAAGAACUAAAGAGAGUAUGUGGGAACAUGAAUGAUCCCUUUCCCUGAGAGGUAUGGCCUGCUGAGACAUUGAACCUGCUAUUAUGGCAUUGAUUUUGCUGGCUCUAAGCCAGAGAAGUGGGGUUUGCUUUUUUGGAUCUAAGAAUCAGGUGCAGCUUUCCCUUAGCUCUCCAAGUCUGCGGGGAUGAGGGAGCAGAGAUAGAGCGUUAUUGCCCUAACACAAUAUGCCUAGGAUUUAACUGUCGGCCCUGAUUUUCACUCAUGCAUAUAGCCAUAAAUAGAGUGUUAGGCAGUAAUGCAUGGAUUUGCAGGGAGGCUCAGAUCUUGCUUAUGUGAGGAUAGGCUGUAAGUCAUUUCUGGAAGCCGAGAGAAGGAAAAGAAAUGCUAGGAGAAGAGCCAUGAUGUCUAAGUGAAGCCUAAAAAUGCAGUUUGCUGGAAACCAACUGCACUGGAAGGUGCCAAAGUCUGAAAUAACUUUAAAAAAUUAAAUGUGGGGAAGCUGAUGCAUCAGCUACAGUUCAUCAUUGGUUAGGAGCACAGAAUCUGGAACUGGGCUUCUGUGAUUCAAACCCCAGCUCUGCCACCUAGUAGCUAUGUUACCUCCAGCAAUUUCAUCAACCUUUCUGUCCCCAUCUCCUCAAUGUGUAAAGUGAAGAUCCAAACAGCAUACACCUUCUAAGGCUGUUGUAAAGAUUACGGGAGUUAACACAUGUAAAAGACACAGAACAGUGCUUGGCACAUUGUAAUAUUUGACAAGAGUUCAAAAGCUUCCAUCUCCACUGAGGGAUGGCACAAUGGGAGUGCUCUCAGAAAGCCUUCUUUGAAGCUGCUGAUCUCUUGUAGCAAUUAGGAUAGGCCAGGUUAUGCUUCAAAAACAAUAUUUAAAUUUGAAUAUCCCACGUUGUCAAAGGAAUUCAGAUGGAAGAAUGAAAUUCUGUGCUUAAACUUUCAGAAACCCAAGGGUGAUCUCUGUCAUUUCAAAUACUUGAAGUUUGUUAAAUGGUUUGUGGAAGAGUCAAGGGCUAUAUUCAGGACCGGGAGUAGGGUGAAGCAAGAGAGGCCCUAGGGUGUAAAACUUAAGGGAUCAUCUCUGCAACAAAGGACACAAUAAACAGUGUGAAAAGGCAAUCCAUGGAAUGGGAAACAAUAUUUCUAAUCAUAUCUCUAAUAAGGGGUUAAUAUCCAAAAUAUGUAAAAUAUUCCUGUAACUCAACAAUAACAAAAAACCCAAAUAACUCAAUUAAAAAUGGACAAAGGACUUGAAUAGACCUUUUACAGAGAAGAUACAUAAAAGGCCAACAAAUGCAUGAAAGGAUGUUCAACAUCACUAAUAACUAGAAGAAAUGCAAAUCAAAAUGACAGUGAGAUAUUGUCUUACACUCAUUAGGAUGGAUACUAUAUUUUUUUUAAAAAGACAAGAUAACAAGUGUUAGUAAGGACAUAGAGAAAUUGGAACCCUUGUUCAUUGUUGGUAGGAAUGGAAGAUGGUACAUCUGCCUUGGAAAACUAUAUGGUGGUUCUCCCCAAAAUUAAAAUAGAAUUACCAUCUGAUCCAGCAAUUCCACUUCUGGGUACACACCCAAAAGAACUGAAAACAUGGCUAACAUGGUGAAACCCCAUCUCUACUAAAUAUACAAAAAAUUAGCCAGGCGUGGUGGCAGGUGCCUGUAGUCCCAGCUACUUGGGAGGCUGAGGGCAGGAGAAUGGCAUGAACCUGGGAGGCAGAGCUUGCAGUGAUUGGAGAUCGCGCCACUGCACUCCAGCCUGGGCGAGAGAAUGAGACUCUAUCUCA